GGCAAAAAUCACUUUUAUUGUCAAUAAAUACAACAGUGCACAUUCACCCAGAAAAAAAACAAGUGUACAAAAGUAAACCAUAUCACUUUUUUUAUUUACAUGUGUACAUGUUAAGUAACACAAAUAUCCCUCAUUACAAAAUGGGAGCGAUCCAAUGAUCGAAGUGAAUAGGAAAUGCAAGUGCUACUUAAAACCUCUUCAAUGGGCUGUAAUACUUCCCUUAUAACAGGGGUUCCCAGUUACUGUCCCAACGUAGAGCUAUGCAUGUUAUCAAUAAACAGAUGCACUAUGUGAUCAUGUAUAUAGAACAUAUAUAUUGAGCUACAUGUUAUGGACUGAAAUUGGGGUGGCCCACAUCAAGAACUACCAAACUCCAGAAGUCUUUCCCAUUGUGCGCAUAGGCGACUGAGCAAUGGGGAAAAUGGAGCAGCUACAACCCCACUUUCAGAAUAGAGGUGCAAACAUCGGUUUUAAACCCCCACUUUUUUUUACCAGAACAUGAUCAUCUAUUGGAUAAUUUUAAAUGAUUAGUAAUGUUUGUAUUAAAAUGUAUAUGUCCAUUUGAGAAAUAAUCAGAAGGCCUAAUAUUACAUGCUUACAUCUGUGAAAUAUUCCCCAAGCUGUUUACAGGCAUUUAACACCAUUCUGCAUUUUUGUCAUCUAUUUUCCCCAACUUCAAAUCAAUUAAAUCACAUUUGUUACUUAAUGAAAAAAAUGGAACAAAGUAACAGUUCUGGCUGAGCCCCAUAAUGCAAGUGCACAAUGGCCGCUUCACCGUUAUAAUGUAGCCAAGUGGUGUCUGUAUGCGACUAUGUUCUAAAUAAAAAAGCACAGGGUAUUUGGAUCUCCAUAAAACAGCUCUGCUUGCGGACCCGGCUCCACGAGGGGGCAAAACGGGGCUUAGUUCAAACUUGUGCCACUUCAGUUUUACGUCUCUAUAUAAAAACAGCAAAAAAGUUCAAAUUAUCGAGUGACAGGUUGGCGCAAAAUCAGUAUCUGCGCACCUCAGAGUGUGUGUGUAUAUGUGUAGGGGGGCUAUGGAAAGCUACUGGGCGGUUAAGUAUGACUCCUUUGGGUUUGGUUUCCAUAAAAAGCGUGGGGAAAAUGCUGCUCAUCUGUGGUAGGCUACGUGAAUAAUGUGAUACGCCUCUGCCUGUAAUAGGCUCAUUUGAUUUUGAUUUAUAAGGGCAGGUCAAGUUCAGUUAAAUCCCCACCACUACAGCGUUUAGUUAGCUUCUUAGCUAGCUGUAAAGGGUGUUAGUGUUAUUAGCCUAUUUUGCUCUAACCAGCUAAUCUGCCACGAUCAGAAACAAAACCGCCGCCAAGCCCAGCAGCGAUGAUGCUGCCGAGCUCCAGCUAGCUCAGCGUGAAGAGCCUACUCUCUCUUCCACAAGUGCCACAAGCAUAAUGUCUCCACAGACCCCUCCACCUGUUCCUGAUGAUCUUGGAACAAAGAAGCCAGCCCAGUCAGCAGACGAAGUAUGCUACACCCAAGGAAAGCUCAACUAAUCCAACUGGCAUUUGUGUGGGAUCUUACAAGAAGAUUUCAGGGAGAAUGGAAUGAUUGAUUACUCAGGAAGUUCCACAGAGCAUCAAGGAGGCUGCAACUCUGAAAAGAGCGAGUGAAGAGGAGUUGCACCGAGUGUCCAGUAGAGGGCUCCCUCCAUCAAUCUUACCAGGCCCAGGCCCUGCAGGAACAGGAAGUGAUAAAGGAACAGGAUGCCAGUGG